UUCCCUUUUAUUCCAGAAGUUUGGUCCUUAAGGGGUUAAACAGUAUUAACCCCUUAGGGACCAAACUUCUGGAAUAAAAGGGAAUCA